UACGUAGGGUGCGAGCGUUAAUCGGAAUUACUGGGCGUAAAGCGUGCGCAGGCGGUUCGUGAUGUCUGAUGUGAAAGCCCCGGGCUUAACCUGGGAAUGGCAUUGGAAACUGGCGGGCUGGAGUGUGGCAGAGGGGGGUGGAAUUCCACGUGUAGCAGUGAAAUGCGUAGAGAUGUGGAGGAACACCGAUGGCGAAGGCAGCCCCCUGGGCUAACACUGACGCUGAGACGCGAAAGCGUGGGGAGCGAACAGG
rnacentral:rRNA from 1 species